ACUCUAGGGAGAUGGGCCACACGAAAGAGCCUUUCUAGCAGGAACGGUAGAGGAGAGCGCCGGGGCCAAGCCGUGGGGGCUCAGCAUCACCAGACCCACAUUGCAGGGACGGUGGUAAUGGAGGGAGCUCUUCAGGCGAGGAAGGGACAUCUGGGGACAGAUUUUGGUGAAUUUGGCGACUGUCAAGUUUCUUGAGAUGGGCAAGUAACAAUGAAGGCAGCUGCUCAGAUCAUCAAUGCUCUGCUCUAUGUUGCUUUAGACAUUCUUCAUCUAGAGAAGUCCCCAGAGAGCAAUACCUCUGUAUUUGCUGGAGGUACAAAACUGGCCUCUCUUCGCUUCAAUGCUGUCCACUUUAACACAGAAAGCAAGCAUCACUCACAAGCUGAACCCUCCACCACAGCACACAAGUGCCUCAGAUACUAGCAGCACUGGAAUUCUCUGCUAAGUGAU